GUCGGCGACCGGCGCACGGGUGAGUAACGCGUAUGCAACCUGCCCUUCACAGGGGGAUAACCGGGAGAAAUUCCGACUAAUACCGCAUACGUCCUCCGGGGGCAUCCCCGGGGGAUGAAAGAGUUAUCGGUGAAGGAUGGGCAUGCGUGAUAUUAGGUAGUUGGCGGGGCAACGGCCCACCAAGCCCACGAUAUCUAGGGGUUCUGAGAGGAAGGUCCCCCACAUUGGUACUGAGACACGGACCAAACUCC
rnacentral:rRNA from 1 species